UGCUCAUAGAAAGUAAAGAAAUAGAAAUCACCAGGAUUUUCUUCACAGAAAGCAGGUCUUUUGUGUUCCUGCUUCCAAACAAUCCUGUGGUGAUAGUGGAGGCCACAGUGGGAGAAUACAGGAGGCAACACUCUAAAAGGGGAGAAUCUUUCUUGCUGAAUGGUAGAGGUGGGGCACCAAGAUAGUGGCACAAGCCCUCACUGCCUCUUUCUAUGCAUCUAGCUUCCUGCUGCUUGGUGUUGAAUGCAAGCAGUUAUAGAAGUGCACAGCAUAGCCAGGUAACUAAAACCUCAGCUUGGUGGCCAGAGAGCCAAAAAUGAGAGGGCCAGGGACUUGGAAAAGAUUAGAGUGGGCGCACCACUAAGCUAUGCAUAAAUAGAUCUGAUCUUAAUUAGCAUACCAAAGACUUUAAAAACCAAACUAACAGCUAUAACAUACCCCCUCCACCCUGACCCAAACUGACCACCAGAUGACCCAUAUGUGGAUUAGUUCAGAAUAGUGCAGCAAAGGUUUGAAAUACUGAGCUGAUGUUAGAACCACAGCUUGCAUUGAAUUUUGCAGCCUUAACCUGACCAGGUGGAUUGCCUACUAAAACUAACAAAUACAGGGCUGGGAAUGUGACUCAGAGGUAGAGUGCUUGCUAACAUGCGUGAGGCCUGGGUUUGAUUCUCUAUACCACAAAAACAAACAAACAAACAAAAACCAACACUCUGUGUAGGACUUAAAAUCCAGAAUUUCAGAACAUAAUGUCCGAUAUGUCCAGAAGAUAAUGCAAAAUUACUCAAGUUACAAAGAAUCAAGAAAAUCUUAACUUGCAUGGUAAAAGAUAAUCAGAUACUAGUACUAACAUAACACAGAUGUUGAAAUUAUCUCACAGACUUUAAAACAGCUAUUGUACAAACACUCAGCAAAAAUUGUAAACACUCUUAAAAACAAGUAGAAAAAUACAGAGUUUAAGUAAAAGUAAAGGUUUUUAAAAAGAGAAAAAUUUAGAAUUGAAAAAUACAGCAACCAGAAUUUAAAAAAAAAAAAAAAAACCUCACUCAGUAGACUCAAAAGAAAAAAGGAGAUGACAGAGGAAAGUCAGUGAACUUGAAGAUAAGUCAAUAGAUAUUUUCUAAUAUGAACAACAGAGGAAAACAAUUUGUUAUGUUUUUUGUUGUUAUUGUUGCUGUUUUGUUUUUUAGUGAACAGAACCUCAGGAACAUUUGUGUUAAAGGUUUAACAUCCAAGUCAUCAGUUCCAGAAAGAGAAAGAAUAAGGUGCUGAAAAAGUAUUUGAAGAUGUAAUGACUGAAAUUUUUCUGAUUUUGGCUAAACACAUAAACAUAGAUAUUUUUAAAAUUCAAUGAAUUCAAGUAGGAAAAAGUCAAAGAAAUCCAUGCCCAGAAAUCAUAAUUAACCUACUGAAAACUAAAGACUAAAAAAAAAAAAAAAAAAAAAAUCUUAAAAGUAGAUGAAUAAAAAUGAUGCAUUACCUGCAAGGGGGACAGUGAUUCAGGUAACUGCAGAUUUCUCAUCAGGCCAUGAAGAUCAGUGCACAUUUGUCAAGUAUCAAAAGAAAAGAACUAUCAACUUGAAAUUGUGAAACCACCUAACUAUACUUCAGGAAUAAAGUGAAAUAAAAAUAUUUUCAAAUGAAUGGAAACACAAUAAUUCACUCUCAGUAGACCUGCUCUAAAAGAAUCAUUAAAUAAAGUUCUUCAUACAGAAAUGGUACCAGAAAGAAUUUGACUGGAGGUAUUCAAUAAUACACUUGCAUUUAUUUGAGGGUGUGAAUUUAGGGCUACCAUUUUAUUAUUUGCUUUCUGUAUGUUCCCUCUGUCAUUGUUUUCCAUUUUUUCCUCUUCUUUGAGGUUUUUGAAUAUUUUUAUGUUACAUUUUAGUUCAUCUAUUGUCAAUCUUGACUCUUUGUACAGUUGUUGUUGUUGUUGUUUGUUUAUUUGUUUGUUUAGUACAAAGGAUUGAACCCAAGGCCUCACACAUGCUGGACAAGUGAUCUACUACUGAGCCACAUCUCCAACCCAUUUUAUAUUUUAUCUUGAGACAGGGUCUCAUUAAGUUUCCCAGGAUGGACUCAAACUUGGGAUUCUCCUACUUCAAACCUACUGAGUUGCUGGGAUUUUAGGAUGACCUGAUCACCAACUUCUGGGCAUCUGAUCUGCCAUCAAGCUAGCCCACACUCAGUCUAUAGUACAACAACAUUCUUAUAGGUGAACUGUGCAAGUACAUUGAUAGCAGUUUGAUUGUGAUGAGGUCUUUACUCCCUGGAACAGAAACAUCUUCAGUCUUCGUUUCUUUUCUAUUGCUAUAAUACUUGAGUCUGGGUAAUUUAUUUUAAAGAAGAGUUUAUAGUACUGGAAGUCCUAGAGCAUGACACUGUCAUCUUCUCAGCUUCUGGUAAGGGUCUCAUGGUGGAAAGUGGAAGGACAAGUGAAAGAGAAGCAAGAAGAAGCCAAGGAAGCAGAACUUUAUAACAACCUGCUCUUUUGAGAACUAAUCCAGACCCAUGAAAGUGAUAAUUCAUUCACUCCUGCAAGAGAGCUCCACCUCAUGACUCAAAACACCUCUCAAUAUGUUCCAUCUCCCAACAUGGCUAUAUUGAGGAAUUAAGCCUUAACAUGAGUUUCAGUGGACAAACCACAUUCAAACCAUGGAUAUAUUACCCUUUUUGUUUUCCUUCUUCUUCUCCCACUUCUCCCCAUUCUCCAUCAUCUCAUUGUGUUUUUUUGUUUUUGUUUUUGUUUUUGCAGUCCUAGGGAUUGAACCCAGUGCCUUGUUCAUGUUAAGCAAACACUUUUACCUCUGAGCUAUAUCCCAAGCUGUUUGUUUUUCUUUUCUUUUCUUUCAGUACAGGGUCUUUCUAAUUGCCCAGGCUGUCCCCAAACCUGUGUUCCUCCUACCUCAACUUCACAAGUAGCUGGGAUUGUAGGUGAGCACCACCAGUCUCAGCAUAGCAAUAUUCUUUAUAUGAGUUUGCCUUCCCUCCAUACAACACUUCUUUCAGUGCCGUUGUCCAUCCAUGGACUUACAGAAUGCUUUAUCCUUGAUCAUAACUUUGGUUCUACACAAAGAAUUUAUUUUACAACAAAAGACAUGUGGUGUAGAAUAUGUGCUCUGAGUUCAUCAGCUCUAUAUUUAUCCCACAACUCAGAAGCAAUUACCUGCCAGAAUGGUGGAGAGGUCACCUAAAGGCCAAAUUUUGGUGCCCCUGAGGGACAACACCUUAUGAAAAGAGGAUGUAUUGUCACAGGGCACAGUAUAGGCUCUGUAUCAGCAACCAGUAUAUGAUAUUGUUUAUACAAUAGCAAGAUACAGAAGUCCCAGAAUAAAGGAAUAUAAUUAUGA